UUUUUUUUUUUUUUUUUUCUAAAUCAGAAUUGAAGAGGUAAAGGGUCUUCUGCACUUGGUAAUUUGAUUGGGUGACUGCAAGAGUUCAGGGACUCAUGUCUUACCACAAGAAGAAUAAACAUUAAAUCAAGGGCAGGUGCAUAUGUUACAUGAAGUUGUGAAAGUGGUAUUUAUUCUAUGUUUCUAAUCUCUAUAUUGAUUAAAAAACGAAGGAAAUGGCAGGUUCAUAGGUGGUGUGGUAAGGUGGCAAUAAUUUAUGUGGAUAAUAUAGAAAGGUGUUUCCUAGGAGAUAAUUUUUAUUUAUUUUUUUCUUUAAAAAAUUAAUUUUAUUUGAUACAGAGAUACAGAGCUCAUGUGUGCACGGGAGGGGGGGGGGCGCGGGGCGGGCGGCAGAAGAAGAAAAUCUCAAGUAGACUCCCCACUGAGUGAUCUCAAGACCCUGAGAUCUUGACCUGAGCUGAAACCAAGAGUCAGACAAUUAACUGAGCCACACAGGCACCCCUCCUCCUAGAAGGUACAUUUUAGGCAAGGCCUUAAAUGAGGUAUAACACCCACUUAUGAAAAAAUCUGUGGGAAGGAAUUUUCAGACAGAGAGAAAAGAAGUAUUUAGGACCUGAAGUAGUAAGGAACGUGACUUGUCAGAGACUAGGUAAUUUUCAUUUACAUUAUUUUAUGCAUUUGAUUUUACUACUCUUAGGUUAGUCUAUAUAAGGGCUUCCACAAAUUAGACCCUGCUUGAAAUUUAAUUCUCGCCUGAUCUUUCUCAUCAUGCUCCAUGCUAGUCGGUGCCUCUGUGACUUUGUAUAGGCUGUUUCUUUUGUUAAAUAGCCUCUCAUUCAUUUGUUCUUGGCUGAUAAACUGACUCAUCUCCUAAAUUGCAUUUCAAGCACUCCCUUUUUUAAGAAGCUUCCUCUCAUUCUCUUUUGCCCACCAUCCAUAGUUACUCAAGUAACUUGACUUGUGCAUUUGAGACACAGCUUUGCAUUUAUUGAUUUACAUGUCUGCUUUUAUCACUAGUGGGUUUCUUUAGGACAGAGACAUUGUUAUAAUUCAUCCCUACUACAUAUGGUUGGCCAUUGUAGUGGUAAUAUAGUAUAUAAUAUUAGUAGUAUAUAGCAGACACUCAAUAAGUUGUUGUUAAACAAAUCAGUGGGAUAUCUUUUUUGUUGUUUAACUUAAUAUGAUAAUUGUCUUCAGAACAGUUUCCAUGACAUACUUAUGAUAAUUAAUAGCUAUAAACUAACUCUUCACUAUAUUCUGUAGCCACUAGGAUGUUUAUCAUUUCAUUUCAAAGCAAAAAGAUGUUAAAUAGAGUUUCUAUUUAAUGCAAACAACACUCAUGGAAAUAUUCUGAAAAGAUUAAUUUCUGGCAUACAGUUUUCAAUUCAGUUUUUUGUUUAGCAUAUUUGUAAUAGAUUUUGAGCCUACUCUAAAAAAUGUUGGCAUUGAGAACUAGGUAGUAUUUAAUGAAAAUCAUGAUUUAAUAGCAUGUUUUACGUGGUUUGUUUUUUAUGUUUACUUAAUUUUUUUAAGGAUUUUAUUCAUUCACGAGAGACAAGAGAGCGAGAGACGCAAAAACAUAAGCAGAGAGAGAAGCAGGCUCCCUGCGAGGAACCUGAUGCGGGACUCGAUCCCGGACCCGGGAUCCUGCCCUGAGCCAGAGACAUGCUCAACCAUGGAGCCACCCAGGCGUCCUGGCUUGUUUCUUUUUAAUUUAGAGUAGUACAGUUAUAUUUGAGAUCUUCAUUACAUUUUAUUUACCAGAACUCAAUGUUCUUUCUUAACUUGGAAACUGAGGGCUUUUCCAAUUCUUAAACGCCUGGCAGAAGUAGAAUAGCUGGAUGAGAACCUGGGAAGAGAAAUUAUGGAGGAUGUGGCGAAAAAGUGGGAGGAGAAUAUGGACAUUUUGGCAGCACCAAACUUGAAGAGAUGACAGAGGGUAUAGCAUUAAAGUAACCAUGCAGAAUUGGAAAUACAUGACUUAGCGCUUCCCCUGCCCCAGGAAAUUUCAAGUAUACUGGCACGUGCUCAGUGUCUCCAGAGGUGUCUGAGUGAUUGGCCUGUGUUCUAGGCUUUAUCCUAAUCAGGAAGAUGCUUCCACCCUGUUGGUUCUCCUUGAUGUCAUUAGGGAUACAAAUGUGUGAUGCAAAUUUAUUGAAUGAUCCAAGCUAAUGAAUAAAUACAUAAGCCUUUAAUAUCAGUCCUCUUAUUUAUUUGUCUUUAAAGUUUAUAUCAAUACAUGCUCCUAGAUUCUUAUUUCAUCUAAUGGGAUAGAAUCUACUACUAAUGUUCUUUGUUUUGAUGCUUAAAUGAUUUGCUUUGCCCUGUAGGGGCUCCUUCAAGAUGGUUUGCUUAUCCUUUUGAAACAUGCCUUUGAUUAUUUGAAUACUUUUUUGCUUCCUUAUAUAACAAAAUAUUACAAUUUUAUCUUGCUCUUUCUCUUCCUCAGUUCUAGAAUUUGCCUCCCCCCCCCCCCCCAGGGAACCCUAUUCCUUUUAGUGGAGAAUCAUAUUUAGAAACCAAGAUAUGAAAUUUUGGCUUAAUUAUCGUCAUUUGUGGGUCAUUAUUUCUAAGCCCUUUCAGUGGGCAGAACUAAGAAAUGUAUAUAAAGGCAUUUCAAGUAUAUUUAUAUAUAUUAACAACACAUAUAUUAAAAAAUUAUUUCAAAUUGAUACUUCCAAUUAACAUCACAAGUCCCUUUACUUUUUAUCAGAAGAGAGAAAUCAUUGGCUUAACAUGAACAAAACACUAGCAUUUGGGAGAUUUUUUUAAAAGAUCUUACUUAUUUGAGACAGAGAGAGAGAGAGAGAGAGAGAGAGCAAGAAGGCACAACUAGGGGAAAGGGCAGAGAGAGGGAGAAGCAGACUGCCCGCUGAACAGGGAGCCUGACUCAGGUCUCAAUACCAAGACCCCAGGAUCAUGACCUGAGCUGAAGGUGGAUGCUUAACCAACUGAGCCAUCCAGGCACCCCAAAAUACUAGCAUUUUUGAAAGAACAGUAUUUGUUACCUAUAUAAAAUGGGCCUGGAAAGUAAUAAUAUUGAUCUCAUACAAAGUCCACUGAAAUAUGUUUCAUUGAUAUUUAAACAUAAUGUAUAUUAGAAUCUUAGAUAUCAGAGGGAGAGGGAGGCAUUUUCAGAAUUGUGAUCUAGAUGUUAUACAGUAGACUCUUGCAGUGUUGUUCUGGAUCUGUGUUAGAAUAGAAAAAGAGAUCAUGGGGCAAAAACUUGUCUUAAUCCUUCAAACAUUGUUAACCACAUAGAGAAAGCAUAUUAAGCAUACAUUACACCCAGAAUCUUGAAAUGAAUGCAUAUUUAUGAGAGGAAUAUAAACAAACAAGGAAGUGGUACAGUGAGACACUGACAUAAUGCACUACCUACUUGGGAAAAAUACUUGUGUUUUCUCUUUGGAUAAAUACAGAUACAAUACUAGCCAUUCCACUUAGCAGUAGCUUGACUACCAACAUGAAUAACUUGUUCAGAGAUGAAGAGGAGGAGUUGUGAACAUCUAAACAUUAGGAUUUGCAUCAUAAUAGUGCUAGGACUACAUAUUCUAACAGAAUUUUCUCCCACCAUGUCUUGGAGAACUUUUAUCCAAUGGUCUGUGUCUCUCCUACUAGUUUGAAAACCAAAGCCUCUCUCCUUGUUUUACUAAUCCCAAAGAUUAAUUCAGAAGCCCAUGAUUUUUCUUUACUGGUUCCUUUGCUUUAUCUAGAAAAAUAAAAUGUAAAAAAUAUAAUUUGGCAGGUUGAAAUUUGUUUUCUCUAGUAUAGUAAAACAAAGAGUCUCAUUUUAAUACUGCAUAUAUGCACUUACUAAACAUUGCAUUGUAAUGAAUUAAUGACCUGAAAAUAAUGUAAAUACAUACAUAUAUAUUUGUGUAAUAUAUGUUAGCUUCAGAAAUCAUUUUUUAAAAGUGAAUACCUAAGGGGCACCUGGGUAGCUCAGUUGGUUAAGUGUCUGACUCUUGAGCUCAGCUUGGGUCUUGACCUCAAGGUCACUGAGUUCAAGCCCCACUGAGUUAAAAAAAAAAAAAAAAGUGAAGACCUGAAGAAGCUACAACUAUAAUUUAAAAAAUGUUUUGACCAGUGUUAGAAGGAAAAAUUAAUUAACAAUUAUUAAGGAGUUAUGUGAUAUACACCAUGUGUAUUGCAUCUUAUUUAAUUAUCAAACAAUAUAUUUGCUAAAGCUGCCAUUCCCCCAUUUUCUGGAAGAAGAAACUGAGAUUACAUACUUCAUUAAACUUGGUCAACUUCUUGUAACUAAUACUAGUGCUUGGAUCAAGCCACAUAUGUUUGACUCUAGACCCUGUAUUCUCUUGAGGGCAUCACAUAAAGCUUUUCACUGCCCCUGCCCAAAAACAACUUUUGCUAAAUUGAUUCUUUGCUUCUUGAUCUGUAAAAGAAGGAUGUUGGCCUCUCUUAGUGAUCUCCAUGUUUUUAAUAAGCAAUAAAUAACAUUCACCACACAUAAUAGUUUCUCUGUUCUAUAUUCAUUAUUGCAAAACAACUAUGGCUCAGUGAUGCUUUGAACUUAGUUUCAAUUUCAUAAUUUAAAACACAUUUGUAUACAUAUGAAAAUACCAGUUGUGACAAGAGAAUAGAAAGCUUUGUUUUGAAAGUAAUUUGUAACUGACAGUUGACCAUAGACAUAUUGCAAAGGUGGGGGCCACAUACAGGGGUAAAAGUUGGCCUGGAGUUAUUUUUUUUUUUAUUUCUUUCUCUUGUAAAACAGUUGUAGCCAUUACACAUUCUUAUUGAAGUAGAAUUAACAUACAGUGUUACAUUCAUUUCAGAUGUACUAUAUGAUGAUUCAGCAAUUCUGUACAUUACUCAGUGCUUAUCAUGAUAAAUGUACUCUUAAUCACUCUCAUCUAUUUCACCCAUUCCCCUUCUCUACCUCCCCUCUAGUAACCACUAGUUUGUUCUUGUAUUUAAGAGUUUGGUUUUUUGUUUGUCUUUUUUUUAUUUGUUUGUGAUUCAAUAAUUUUAUACACUACUUAGUGCUCAUCACAAUAAAUGUACUUUAUUUCACCCAUUCCCAACCCACCUCUGUAACUACCAGUUUUUUCCUAUAUUUAAGAGUCUGGCUUUCUUUUUUGGGGGGAGGUCUCUUCUUUUUUCUUUGUUCAUUUGCUUUGUUUCUUAAAUUCUACAUAUGAGUGAAAUCACAUGGUAUUUGUCUUCCUCUGAUUUAUUUCACUUAGCAUUGUAUCCUCUAGGUCCAUCCAUGUUGUUGCAGAUGGUGAGAUCUCGCUUAUUUUUAUGUUCUUCCACAUUAUAUUUAUCCGUUCAUUAUGAAUGGACACUUGGGUUGCUUCUAUAUCUUGGCUAUUGUAAAUAAUGCUGUAAUAAACAUAAGGGUGCCUGAAGUCAUCUUAAAUGAACUCUAUUCAAAAGGACUGCCUAAUAAGCAAUGGGAUUCCAAAAGAGAGUCUAUGAAGACAUGAACCUGCUGAGAAUCAAAUCACAGUGAACUGUAGGUGAGAGAUGGCUACCAAUAAAUGGAGAGAGAAGUAAAUAGUCUGAGGAAUCCUACAAGGAACUGAAACACUGUGCAAGGGAAAAAACAAACAAACAAACAAAGCCCCAGCUUUGAUACCUGUCAAACUAGACAGCAAUGAUGGUGACCAAUAAAAGUACCAGCAGGCAGGAGUUUUCCUACACCCUCACCUCUCCACCAUCUUGAACCCUGUUGUGAUCAGAAUCAGUGCAAGUUAACAAUUGAUACAAAGAAAGACAAGUUGGGAAAAUAGAGGAAUAUCUAUCCAAGCCAUACUGUAUACUGCAGGCCUGCCUUCUGUUGCAUGACUGAUUAGGUGAGUGCAGAAGCUUUAAUUUUAAAUGAAGCUUGUAGUUUUUAUUAUACUCUGGCUGUACCUAUCACUUUCAGAAUUGAAAUAGUUUAAGUAACUAGAGUACCAGUGGGAUUUUUAUUAUUUAAGACAGCUGUGGGACACCAACCAAGAUUUUAUCCAGGGGAAGGAAAAGAAUUACCCUAUGGAGCACACUUUAAUAGAUAUUAUGAGACAAAAAGUUACUUAAUGAUUUCAUUUGGCAAUUCUGUUCCUUCAGAAUAGCAUCAUAGAUUUAUAUAUCCAUGUGUCCUAUGUCAAAACAUACACAUUUAUCUUUAUAUGUGCAUGUAUCAUAUGGAACACGUUGCCUUUUGCAAAGUUUAUUGUUUUUUUAGAAAUUCUUACUUGAUUAUUCCCUUAAUUACAUUUCUGUAUAUUCUCUCUACCUAAAUUCUUUAGCUAUAAGCAAAGAAGGGUCAAGUUUUUAUAUACAAUAUUCUAUGUUUUUUUUUAUAAUUGGAGAAAAUAUUUUAUCUAAACACCAUGUGCCCAUGAUAUAUGACACCCCAUCAUAUUUGCAUGUGAAUGUUUAUAAAGUGCAAAUAAUCUCAAAUCACAGGAUCAGAAUUAGAUUUAAAAAAAUGUAUUCAAUAAGAUGUGUAAGAUGAGAUAGAAUUAAUUCUAAUUGAAUUCACAGAGGAUUUGAAAUUAGAUGUAAAUCUGUAAUAUUGUAUUACAUUAAGUAUGAAUUAGUAUUUGAUUUGCAUUCAGAAAAAUGUACUAUGUUCACUUCUGAGAACCAUUUAGAUAGAACAUUAGAACAGAUAUCUGAUCUUUAUUUUCUCUUCUUCCCCUGCCACCUAAAUUUUAUUGAAAACUCUGUCCAACCUGAUUAUCAAUAUUAAAGAUUAGUUUUGAGAAAUCCGGAGAAAUUAAGAAUUACAUUUUAGUCAGAGAUAGAAUACAGUAAGAAGUAUUUUUAUGUAUUGAAAACAACGUCUCUCAAGAGGUAACAAUUUUAAUACCUAAACACUAACCUAAAUGCUGAAUUUUAGGUAUUAAGGCUAGAAAAGAUACACAGAACACAAGAGUUUCUUGAAUAAAUGUUCCACAUUUAGCUUAAAGAAUUCAUUUAGAACUUGGGCAUUAAAGAAAUGUUAUUUGAAACUGAUAUUGGUAAUUAACUUAGAAAAUCUUUAGAAUUUGGAUUUAGGUCCUAUGAUUCAGAAUUUAGGUGUUAUCAAAGGAGAUUAGUAUUGGACCCUAAAUCUACCAUUUAAUGAGGUGUAUUAAAAAAAAUUCUGGCAUUAGAAUAAAAGCUAUGUGAUGUCAUUCUUACUACUAUGAUGUAGGUAAUAAAGUUUAUAAAAUGUGUAUUUAUAUUAUUUCAUUAUUUACCUUGAUUAUUCAUAAAAAAAAAACCCCAAUUAUAGCAUAAAUGAAUAGUUAUUAAUAUUUAGUAUUACUUUGAAAAUUGAGACUGCUUAACAUUACUGGUUGUAAUUAUAUAGCAUUCUGAAUUCAGUGAAUCCUUUGACAGUUCUAAUUUCCUACCUAAGAGCUCUUCUCUGCUACUCCCUUGCUGACAGGACCUCUUUUUGUUCAGGCUGGCAAUGUUCCCAGAUAAAAUACUCACCUCCUCAGUUUCUGUUGCAGCCAAGGGUUGCAAGGUAACAAGAGUGUAGGCAAUGAGAUACAAGUGUAUUUCUGUUAGAGAUUUUUGGUAUUACUUUUGUUUUGUAAUUAAUACAGACACUCUUUUUGUCCUUUUCUCUUUCUCCAGCCUACAACACAACUGAAGAGGGAGAAGCCAUCAUGCCUCUAUGAUUAGACAAGUCUGAAGAUAAAAGCUUCACUGUGAGGAUAAUGGAACAAAGUGCUAGAAUGGGCCUGCACUCCCUUGCCUUUGACUUGUUGUGGAAGGAAAAUAAAAUGCUGUUACAAGUUUAAUCCACAGAGAUGGGCUUCUGUUUCCUGCAUUUCAAUACAUCACAGUUCAUAAAUUUAUAUAAUUGGCAAAAGUAUCCAUUUUAAAGAUUAACAGAUACCUAACUCUCAGUUAAAUCUCAGAAAAAUAGAUUUUUAAUCCAUUGUGAUUUUGAAAUUGAUCUCUCAGUCUUUCGGCCAUCAAACUAUUAAAUACAUUUAAACAUUGUUAUUCAUUGUUAGAGUGAAUCCUGUUAUUUUCUAAGCGUAUUAUUGUAUGUGUGCCCACACGCAGGUGUGUGUGUGUGUGUGUGUGUUUGUGCGUGUGUAUGCACAUAUACUCAGGGAGCCUGAAGGAACCAUUAUUUAUUUUAUGAGGCACUCAAUGCUAGUUACCUCUAACUCAUUCUUUUCUCUCUUUUUUUUUUUUAGAUUUUAUUUAUUUUUUGAGCAAGAAAAGGGGCAGAGGCAGAGGAAGACAGAUUUUCAAGCAGACUCCACACUGAGCGCAGAGCCCAAUGUAGGGCUCCAUCUCAUGAUCCUGAGAUCAUGACUUGAGCCAAAAACAUGAGUCGGACAAUUAAACGACUAAUUCAGAUGCCCCCUUCUGACUCAUUCUUUAAGCCUCUGCAUUCAAUACCCAUUGCCUUCGGGAAUAAAUCC
rnacentral:lncRNA from 1 species